rnacentral:rRNA from 1 species
UACGUAGGCGGAAAAUUAAGUCAGUAGUGAAAUCCUGCAGCUUAACUGUAGAACUGUUAUUGAUACUGGUUUUCUUGAAUAUAGUUGAGGUAGGCGGAAUGUGUAAUGUAGCGGUGAAAUGCUUAGAUAUUACACAGAACAACGAUUGCGAAGGCAGCUUACUAAGCUAUGAUUGACGCUGAGGUACGAAAGCGUGGGGAGCGAACAGGAUUAGAUACCCUGGUAGUCC